rnacentral:rRNA from 1 species
AAUCAACGCUGGCGGCGUGCCUAACACAUGCAAGUCGAACGCGAAAGGGGCUUCGGCCCUGAGUAGAGUGGCGAACGGGUGAGUAACACGUGGGUGACCUACCCUCGAGUGGGGGAUAACAUCCCGAAAGGGGUGCUAAUACCGCAUGACAUCCUGCCUUUGAACAGGCGGACAUUAAAGCCGGGGAUCGCAAGACCUGGCGCUCGAGGAGGGGCUCGCGCCCGAUUAGCUAGUUGGUGGGGUAAAGGCCUACCAAGGCGACGAUCGGUAGCCGGCCUGAGAGGGCGGACGGCCACACUGGGACUGAGACACGGCCCAGACUCCUACGGGAGGCAGCAGUGGGGAAUUGUUCGCAAUGGGCGCAAGCCUGACGACGCAACGCCGCGUGGAGGACGAAGAUCUUCGGGUCGUAAACUCCUUUCGAUCGGGACGAAUGGCUGGCGGUCUAAUACACCGCUGGAGUGACGGUACCGAGAGAAGAAGCCCCGGCUAACUCCGUGCCAGCAGCCGCCGUAAUAC